UACGUAGGGGGCAAGCGUUGUCCGGAUUUAUUGGGCGUAAAGAGCGUGUAGGCGGCUUGGUAAGUCCGCUGUGAAAGUCCAGGGCUCAACCCUGGAAUGCCGGUGGAAACUGUCAAGCUUGAGUCCGGAAGAGGCGAGUGGAAUUCCUGGUGUAGCGGUGAAAUGCGCAGAUAUCAGGAGGAACACCUAUGGCGAAGGCAGCUCGCUGGGACGGUACUGACGCUGAGACGCGAAAGCGUGGGGAGCAAACAGG
rnacentral:rRNA from 1 species